rnacentral:rRNA from 1 species
GAUGAACGCUGGCGGCGUGCUUAACACAUGCAAGUCGAACGGAAAGGCCCAAGCUUGCUUGGGUACUCGAGUGGCGAACGGGUGAGUAACACGUGGGUGAUCUGCCCUGCACUUCGGGAUAAGCCUGGGAAACUGGGUCUAAUACCGGAUAGGACCACAUUUUGGAUGGUGUGGUGGAAAGUUUUUCGGUGUGGGAUGAGCUCGCGGCCUAUCAGCUUGUUGGUGGGGUAAUGGCCUAUCAAGGCGUCGACGGGUAGCCGGCCUGAGAGGGUGUACGGCCACAUUGGGACUGAGAUACGGCCCAGACUCCUACGGGAGGCAGCAGUGGGGAAUAUUGCACAAUGGGCGCAAGCCUGAUGCAGCGACGCCGCGUGGGGGAUGACGGCCUUCGGGUUGUAAACUCCUUUCGCUAGGGACGAAGCGCAAGUGACGGUACCUGGAGAAGAAGCACCGGCUAACUACGUG